GAAUAUGGUAGGGCGAGCCGACAAGGCUGCUAUAGACAUCUAUAUAUCCAAAAUUAAAAGCCGACAAGGUCACAUACUAUCCAACUAUACAUGACUGUCUACAGACCUCUAGUAGAGUGUACAACUGUAUGAAGGACGGGACUAGGCCUCGUCGUACCCAUAUUUACAUACAAAAAUAGCAUACCAAAAUCAAUAACAGUGUCACGACCCAAACCGAUGGGCCGGGACGGGUACCUGGUACCUUACUCAACCGAGUACCAACAUAACGUAUCUUUCUUAAUAGAUCAUCAUAUACACAUGCAUACGGGCCUAAUAGGCCAACAUGAUCCUUUAUAAACUCAAAACAUAGGCCGACAAGGCCGUAUAAUCUUUUAUGUACACGACAUAUGUCUACAAGCCUCUAAGAAUACAUAAAUGUCAUAAGGGUUGGGGCAGAGUCCCGCCAUUCCAAACAAUACACGUCUAAAUCAUACUAACCAAACGAGCAACUCCGAAACAAAUGGAGCGCACCAACAUCUUCUGCUGAGCUGAUAGCCUACUUGGAGGGCUCUCAACCUGUCUAUCGGGACCUGCGGGCAUGAAACGCAGCGUCCCCGGGCAAAAGGGAUGUCAGUAUGAAUAAUGUACUGAGUAUGUAAGGCACAUAAAUAAAUACAUGAGAGAUAUGGAAGACAUAUAGAGUACAUGACUCAACCUGUAAGUCUGAAUAACUUUGUAAAUCAUAAAUUACAUUUAACGUCAUGCAUAUGCGUAUGGAUGUCAUGUCGUGCAUAGGUACAUGUUUCAUAAUAUCAUCAGCCUCUGAGGGCAUCCCAUCAUAUAAUAUCGGCCACUGUGGGCAAAAUCAUCAUCGUAUACCAGCUGAUCAGGUGGUGGUGCGUAUAUAAAGCCAUAACCUUUCCCAUAUCCCGUAUACAUAUAUAUACAUACAUAUAUACGCGUGUAUAAUGCCGUUUGAGUGCAUACAUAUAUAUGCGUAUAUAACGCCGUUUGAAUCAUAUUUCAGCCACUGUGGACAACAUCAUCAUCAUAUACCAGCUGAUCAUGUGGUGGUGCGUAUAUAACGCCGUAACCUUUUCCCAUUCCAUAUACAUAUAUUUACAUAUAUAUACGUAUAUAAUGCCACCUGGUCAUGGGUCAAUGCACAUGAAUGCAAUGCAUGAAAAGUACGUCAAUAAAAUCAUUCGGAAGUUCAUAAGACCACUUUGCCUCUUGAGCAAUAUCAUAAAGUAACAUCUUUUCAACUUUCGUAUUUUUCUGAGACCCAUGAACAUAUGAUAAAAUAUUAUGACACAUGGAAUUUCAAGAACAUAGAUAUCUCUAAUACUUCUAUGAAUAGAGUAACUCAUGGAAUUUGUGCAUUUGCACGUUUUGUUUGUAUCAUAUGGAUCAUGCCAAAAGAAAGAAGGGAUAACCUUAACACACCUAUUCCCGGAAUCAUUUGAACAAAUCUGCUUCUGCGAAAUAUAGACGAAACUCUGCUUUGAAACUCUCGAAAUUUAGAAGCGAACUUGGUAUCUCUUGAAAUUGAAACGUUGGCUAUCAUUGAAUUGGUGAACGAACAAAAAUGAUUCUGCUUUUUGGUUGAAAUUAGAAUUGGCAAAAAGUUUGUAGCUCCUUCACGUUUUUGGUUUCAUAAAGAAUGUAAACGUUUUUCUUUUCACGUUUUUACUGGUUCAAGGCAGAACGCCAAUGUUUUUUGAUCUUGAAUGAAGU
rnacentral:lncRNA from 1 species